rnacentral:lncRNA from 1 species
UAGAUUUCACUGCCCUCACUGUCUUUAGGGUAGCCAUGGCUGCGGCAUCCUGACGCCUGAGGCGUCCUCUCGCUCCGCCGCCGCCGGCGCGAUCGAUUGGCCGUCGGAGAGCACUCAUGCGUGCCGCCACACGAAUCCUCUCGCCACCAUGCUCCUGCUGGCUCGAUCCGCCCCCGGGUUUCACCGCCGCCACCUGCUCUGGUGCCGCGUGGUGCCCUGGGCCGCUGGGCGCUAGCAGAUGGGGUUUCAGAAGCUACCAAAUGCAUUGCUGGAUCGGAGCAAUUCAGCAGGUACGCCUCGUCCCCUGCAGUAUUUAAUUUGAUCAUACUAGAUAGUAAUAUUUGGACCAACGGGAACAGAUUGUUGUAGUCUUGUAGAUGGAGUUCAUUAACUGCAUAUCUUAUAUUUCCUCUGUUCCAUAUUAUAUGAUUUUGACCUAAAUUCACAUAUUGCACUACAGUAAAAUUAGUUCCUUUGGAAGAUCGGUCGACCUUGGUCCAAUUUUACAUCUAGAUUGUUAGGCAACUAAUGUUCUGUGUUCUUUUGUUGAUGAGAGAUAAAAGAUGGAACAUUAUCUAAUUUUUUUAGCUAUUUACUGGUGUAAAUGAAGAAAUUAACUACUACAAAAUUAAAAUAUAUUCUAGAAAUGUGAUAAGAUGAACUUCUAUAUGGAAACAUUUUUGUAAAAUACACAUCGUUUAACCGUUAAAAAAUAUACACGCAAAAGCCGAGAAAUAAUCUAUCACGAACACGGCAAGAGCGAAUGUUUUGCUGGAGAUCAUGAUGUACUAGAGCUGUCACAAUUCUAUGAAAAAUACACCUGUAUUUUCACAGAUAGUCACAAGUUAGCUAAUCAAACACUAAAUUUUCAUAAACAGGUAUAUCACUUCCUACUAUCUAUAUAGCCACACAAUGGCGCCGGAAUUUAGAUAGUCAUUAUAUUAUUAUAUAUAGUAUCAAAAUGCAUGGAAGGGUUUAGGGUUUAGGGUUGCUGAAUAAUUCAAUCUGAAGCCAAAAAUACGUUAUUAUUUUCUAUAGGUCUACAUUAUAACUGUGUAUAUUGAUUUGAUAUGUAUUAAUUUGAGCCGCUAUAGAUUAUAACAAUCUGUACGGAAAAUACAACUCUAUUUUUAAACUCUUGUAUUAGGGGGUGAUUGAAAAGCCAAAUGGCAUAUUUACAAACGAAAAUAAUUUAUAAAUAAAAUUUUUAUAUGUAUUUUUAGCGGUUUAAAAGCCAAGAUGAAAAAAAUAAAUUUAGAUGAAAAAACUAAAAUCAACUCUGAAUUUAUGACUGGAAAAUCAAAAUUUGGCUUAUAAACAUAAGCAGAAACAAAAAGUUAGGGGAUUGCAUGGCGUGCACACUUGAAUAACUAUCACAGUUUAGAUUUUACUAGAGGGCUUUUCACGAUAAAAUUUCCACAAUGUAAUUAAACAACUUCAACGAGUCAUAUAUAUCCUAGUGUGCUGCGUCAGAGUAGCAUUUUGUACGUUCUGCAUGCGCAUCCUCUUGCUUAUUUAGUCAUUUUCAGGAAUAGUACUUAUGAUGCCUUCAAAUCUUAUGCCAUUAAUCACUAUAGAGCAUAUAGUGUACUAUAUAUGCCACCCAGCUGGGAGUCAAGACAUUUACAAAGUGCCAGUUUAGGAUCACAUCUAUCAACUGAAAAAAGCACAUCGCAAUGCCAUGCAUAUUAUGACUCUGCACAGGGGCCAGAUUAAAGGUUACAAUCACGUACAUUUGGGAACACAAAAAGAAGCAGAAGAAAAGAAAAAAGGAGAACAAUUUUAUAAAAAUUUCAGCUAUAACCAUAUAUCCCAUCCGGUCGAUGUGAUCGAUGGACACAUCGAUUGUGCUGUGAAUAAUGCGUUGCACGGAGCUAGCAACUCAUUAUUAUUUGUCGAACACGCAGAUUCCGAGGUCGCCAUCGCCGCCGGCCGAGCCGAGCAACCCCGUCCACCUGUCCACCUCGUCCCUCUCGUCGCUGUUGAGAAACAGCAAUGCUGCCAUGUCGUCCUCGCCGUUGUCCAGCUGAGAGCCCACGCCGGCUGCUGCCGCCGCCGCCGGCGCUUCCGGCGCGGCCUCCACGGGGCUAAGCUGCGACGCGACGAACUUGUCGAGCGCUCUCCAGUCAGUGGUCACCUUGGCGCCGGUGCCACGCGGUUUCUUGCUGGCCCUCCGGCCGUUGUUAUCGCCCUCGUCGUCGUCCUCGGCGGCGGUGGCCAGUUGGCUCGGGUUGGGCGGGAGCGCGGCGCCGUCCAGCUGCUCCGCCUCCUGCUUGAAGCGCCCGCUCUUGGCGGACUGCUGCCGCCUCACCUGCGCCGCCGCCGCGUACGCUGCGCUCGGAUCGACGAACGCCGCCGCGGCGCUCAUGAUGUUGCGCUCGUGCAGGGAGUAGUUGGCGUCCCACGUCUCCACCAUGCUCCUCGCCGGGUACGCCGUCCUCUUCUUGAACGCCCGGCACACCACCCAUCCUUCCUCCUGCAGAAACUCACACACACAGUGGAAUUAACACACCAUCUAAGCUAAGCUGUGAUCGAACUGCAUUUUGCAAAGUUGACAUUGACAUCUAAGUUAGAUAGCUCCCCACUACACAGUGUGAUAGUGGAACAAUAAAAACUUUUAGUUUUGUGGUGACAAUGUUGGCCAUGCAGCUAGCAUGCAAUGGUUUUGAUGAGUGCUAGUACACAAGUUGCAUACAGCUUGUAAACAAUGGCGCGUGUUAGGACGUUCACACCAGGGAAAACCCUAACUUAGCCAUGCAUGCAUGCGCAUGCGGUUUGUCUAGGAAAAAGGUUUGGUGUUAGUGGUAAGGUCAGGAUGGCAUCAACGCUGGAUGCAGUACUGCUACCUAGCUUUAUUUUUGGAAGAAUAGAAGACUUUGGAAGACUCACAAAAAGGAAUGCCAAGACUUAUCUUUCAAGAGCAAAAAGAGUUGUGGUGCACUCUGUUGCUUAGAGUUAGUGCCAUUAAUAUUUAUAUGCUCCAUUAGUAGUGUUACAUAGUAUUAUACAUGCUUGGACACAUGUAUCUUGGCAGUUCUGUAUGUGCUAAAUCUCUUGGUAUCUGCACAGAACACUAGUGCAGACACCAUGAGACCUUUACCUCUAAGCUGAUUAAUUUAUACUACAUUAUUUUCUUCGGUUAACACACACAAAUACUCCAAUUUUAUGCAAUUGACUUUAAGCUAUAAGUUGCCAUUUGCCUUAUUCAAAAACUUACUAAUUUAUUUUAUUAUGAUUUAAUUCAUUAAAUAAAUUUUAAUUGUGACUUAUUUUUUAUAUUUACACAAUUCUUUUACAUAAAACAAAUAGUUAAAUGUGUACAAAAAGUCAAUGACACAAUUUAUUAAGGAAUACCUACUAAGUGAGAUAUAUUUUCUUUGAUAACUGGAACCAACAUAUACUAGUAGGUCAAACUACGACAUAAUCAAGUACCACAAAAUGAUCUAUCGACGUACUAAUUAAGCUUAUUAUUCCGAUGCAAAAAAAAAAACUUCUUGUGCUAGUAUGCAGAUCAGAAAGAAAUUCAUUAGAUGUAUGUAUGUAUAGUGAGGGGUUAAUUGCUUGGAAGUAGGAUGGAUGCAGAUGAACAUACCUGCGGCGGAGCGUUCUCGUCGGUCUCGAGGCGGUACUCGUGCAUGAUCCAGUCGCUCUUCUGUCCGUUGGGCGCCCUGCCCUUGUAGAAGACGAGCGUCUUCCUCAUGCCGAUGAGCCGGCUCUUGUCGUGCACCGCCUUGUCCCUCCCCGUCGCCUUCCAGAACCCCGCCAUUGUCGCCCUGUUCGUCCUCGUCCCCGUCGGGUACUUCCUGUCCUUGUAGCUGAAGAAGUACCACUCGCUCUGCUCCUCGUACCCGAUCCCACAGUGCUCUUCAUUUCAUUCAUUCCAUUCCAUUCCAUUUUUUUCGAUCACAUAAACAGUCACACAGUUACGAUUAAUUUCAGUUCUCUGAAGCUUAAUUGAUCCAGGAGCUAGCUGAGAUCAAAUGUACGUACGUACCUUGGAGAUCCCAGGGCUCGAUGCGGUAGAGAUCGAUGUCGCGGAUGACGUCGAGGUCGAUCUUCUGGGAGGCGACCUUCUUGCGAAGGUAGUAGCCGACGAGCUCCUCGUCGGUGGGGUGGAACCUGAACCCAGGAGGGACGCAUGAUUCCAUGGCGUCCAUAUGAUCACCACCAGCUAGCUUGCCCUGCACCGUUCAGCAGAUGGAUCAUAUGCGUAUGUGCAUCAGAUUCAGCAACGCCGUCUCUAAAUAUUCAUCCAAUCCAUCCCUUGCAUGCAUCAAAUGAUAUAGCUCGCGAGUGGCACUAGUAAAGAACACAUGCAAGUGCUCGAAUCAUUCGGUGCAAGCAGGCUGGCUAGCUGCAAUUUUUUUUAUUUAUAGCACACAAAGGCAAAAGCUAUCUGCAGAGAAGGGCUACAGUGUUGGAUCUCGAUACUGAAUGACUAGCUACAGACUGACUGACAAGGUGUAUAUAUGUAUAGUGCUCCUGUGUGUUUGUAUGGGUUUCAGUGCUUUGGUAAAAUUUAAUCCAGCCAUGUUUGCUCUAUGGAACGGAGCACUUUCUAGGAUAAAAAGGCAAAGUACGGUAGAGCCUGAUCAGCAAUUGGGCAGCAGGGACAAAUGUAGGAAAGCUACAGGCCUGCGAAUGAUACUGUCGACUGGUGAAAUCAGAGGCAUGUGGGCUAUAGUCAGCAGCGAAUUAUAGCUGUUUCAGGCUUUCAGCAGCAGAAGGAUGGCUUGCUGCUGUGGUAGUUUACACAAUGGUACUGAUUUAGAGUGAUCAAAUUAUAACGUUUUGGUUUUUAAUAGUAUUAUUAUACGAGAAAGAGGGCGGUGCAAAUAUCUUUGAAGUAUGUGUACUAGGUACAAGCUAGCUAUUUAAGAAUAUCUAACUAAUAUGCAUGAUUUCAUACUCAUCUUGAUCAUAUAGCUCUCAUGAAAUGGGUAUGCAUGCAUGCACGGCUCAAUGCAAUGCAGUUGUGCAGAGCUGACCACAGGCCUUUAUUUUAUAGAUCUAUGCACCAACAAAAAGUAUCUCAAAGUAUAUAUAUGUGGUGAUACCAAGUUAUCUAUGAUCGUAUUCUAUUCAGCUAGAUCCAAUGGUAAAAAAUAAUUUAAUACCUUGAAAUAUUUUUUAUUGGACAGGGCAAAUCUUAUGCACAUACUGUAGCUGCAUUGUAUUGCAGUAUUGGUCUCUUCUGGCUAGGUUAAUGACGGCAAGUUACGUGUACUGCUUUGCGACAUAUCUGACCUCUUAACCAAAGUUACUAGUUUGCAUAGCACCAUUCUAGCCACGUUAAUAUAUCGUGGUUGUAAAAAUUAUUCCCCCUAGUUUUUUUAUCUGAUACCGCUAACUUUUAAAUAUAUAUUUGACCAUUCAUCUUAUUUAAAUUUAUAUAUAUAUAUAUAUAAAAUUAUAAGUCAUCUUAAAGUUUCUUUAGUAAUAAAUUAAAUCAUAAUAAAAUAAUUAACAAAUAUAUAAUUUUUCUGAAUGAGAUGAACGAUCAAACGUGAUCUAAAAGUCAAUGAUGUUAAAUAUAAAAAACUAAAACAAGAACCAUAUGGAAACUGAAAACGAGAAAGCUGAUGGCAUUGCUAGCAUUUGCCGGGCGGAUGAGCACGCGCUUGUUGCAUGCCUGCAUGCCGUGGGGGCAUGUAAAAAAAAAAAGAACUUGGCAAAGGUGGGGCUUGGAGCAAAAGAUGGAGAAUACAAACGUGAGGCCGGAGAAGAAGCUGGGACGCCCUUUCAGCGAGAUCGAUCAGGCCUGCAAAUAAAGGAGAAGAAGAGGCCAAAAAAGCUACUUGCUCGCUCAUUCAGUCAGUCACUGCUCCAUGAAAGCUACUACUAGCAUGCACAGGGAGGCUGGAAGAAAGCCAAGAACUGAAGCAGCAGCCAGCAGGGGCACACGACUAUCGGUUUCUGACCGCUGUGUCUGUUUGUCGAGGAAUUCCUUGGCACGGAAGGGGACCCUUGUCAAUUGCAUGCAUUUUGGGCUGCCUAUAGGUAGCUAGAUGCGCUCACAUUUGCUGCCGCUAGCUACUGCUUGCUUGCAGAUCAGCUGCAUGGCGUGCCGACCGUACUGCCGGCGGUGGAGCCAGUAGCUCGUAGGGCGUGUAGUAUAUGGAGUAGGAUGGACAGGAAGGUCCAGGCAAAUCAAUCAUUUUGUGUUUCCCCUUUGGUUGAGAAAAUAAGCUCGGCCUAGUGUUACCAGGCCUUUGUAAAUUUUUUUUAAAAAAAUAUCAUAUCGGAUAUACGAAUACAUAUUUAAAGUAUUAAUUAAACGUAAUCUAAUUAUAAAAUAAAUCACAGAUUCCGCUAAGAAACUGCGAGACGAAUCUUUUGAGCAUAAUUAAACCGUCAUUAGCACAUAUUGGUUACUGUAGCAAUUAUGGCUAAUCAUGUACUAACUAGGCUCAAAAGAUUCAUCUCAUGAUUUCCCUCAUAACUAUAUAAUUAGUUUUAAUGUUCGUGUAUAUUUAAUACUCUAUUUAGGUGUCCAAAAAUUCGAUUUGAUGUUUUUUGAAAACUUUUUGGAACUAAACAGGGCCUAAGAAUAAGUUUAAUAAUAGAGCUAACUUCUAAUUAUAAGUUUAUAUUAGAGCUAAUAUACAUACUAUUUUUCUUCAUAUUUUAUCCCACUCAUUUAUUUAAUGUAUAUACUUUUAAACCAUGUGUACGGAUAACUAUCUCUUUCAUAAGAGUAUAGCUCAAUGCAACAAAUUCGAAUAACUAAAGGAGUACUAACCAAAUUCACAUGUUUUGCUAUGGAUAAUAUAAAGUAUAUUGUAAUAAUAAUUAAAAUAAAUAAAAAUAUCUAUCAUGAAACAUGUUAACCACUUUUGCUAAAAAGUAUAUUCACCUCAAAUUUGAUUUAUAUAUGACUAUUCAUUUAGAUUUCACUGUUUUUAAUAUUGAGAAGCUCAAGGGGCGAGUUACAAAAUUCACAGUGGGAGCACUGGGGUGUGGCGGAUCCACCGUGUUGUAACCACUAGAGACUUUUUAAUGAAGUACAAAUAUAGACGCAUGUUGUCUCCCUUAUUUGCAAGAGGACACAAUGCAUGAUUGAUUUGUAAUAUAAAAUGCUUGUGAAGCCAUUCCUUAACAUAUGAAAUCUACCCCUUCUAUAACAAAAUUACAAACCGACGCUCAUAAAUAAGUCAAUAAACCAAAGUUAGAUAAUCUUCCCCCAUGAUACUGACAAGAAGAGUGAAUUUAAUUUGAUUGAUCGAUCUAUCGGUCACAAAGUAUUAAUCCUUAAGUGUUUAUUAUGAGCGAGGAUGCCAACUAAGAUGGUCACAAACUGCCUGUAAUAUAGCAUGUGCCAGGUUGGGUCAGAAACUCAGAAUGGAUAGAAAGGGGGUAGUGGUCCAAGAUAUAUGUACAAUGACCUCCCUAUCUAUGUUUAAUGAGAACGAGACAAAUAAAUUGUCAAGAUUAAUUUUCCUAAGUAUUGCACAUAUAGACUCUCAUGUUCCCCAAAAUUAGUAGUUUUUAGAUAUUGGCGAUGGUACCUGCAUUCCACACACAUUUUUUUCUUGUAUCUCUAAUUAUAUGCUAGCAUUAAUUUGGAAAUAUAAUGUUAUAGAAGAUUUGUCAAAUCAGUAUAGUACUGGUAUCAUUUUACAUGCCAAAAGUUACAUUUCUCUCCAUUUUCGAAUAUCUGUCAGCACCAACUAGCACCUUUUCAUUUUCAGCACUAGUUACUCUUAAAUGGUUUGGCUGUAAUAAACAAAAGUUUUAUGAUUAUGUUUGAGAUAGAAUACACUUUGACAACAUGACAUAUUUUUUAAAUAUUUUUUUUGCAAACAGGAAAAGAUAUCAAAGUUUAAGGGUGAAUAACAAAGUAUGCAUCGACUGUAACACUUAGGGAAAAAAGAAUGUUUUCGCACCGUCUAUUGUAUGACAUAAGUAGAUCUAAUUUGGUUCAAACAUAUAUAUACCAUACAGUACAUGUAGUAGUUUAUAUUCUGAAUCGAUCAUUUUAAGAGUGCCCAUUUAAUUUAAUAUAGUAUUAUAUCACCAUAAUAUAUAUAUCCACAAGAGUAAUUUUACGGUACUUGAGAAGGUAUCAUGAGGUACCAAAAUUUCAGCGUAAAAUUUUAGUACCUUAUGAUACCUAGAUACUGUGAGAUACUAAAUUUUACACUAAAAAUUUGGUACCUCACGGUACAUUCUCAAGGACUAUAAAAUUGCUCUAUCCACAAAUGUGCGCAUUUGUAUGUGUAAAAGAAAUUCCGGUCACGAUUUGAUGGUAUGAUUCGCAUCUUUCGUGUGUGUGGGUGUGGCCGUGUGGGGAAACGGGAUAAAACAGAAAGCAAGAAGAAGAAAAAAUAUUAUGACUGAUGUGCUUUCUCGAAAAAGGAAAAGGGGUAGAUCAAUUACUAUGAUAAUAUACCAGCUCAAUAAGAAGGAUUUUUCUCGAAAAGAAAAGGAGGCAGAUCAAUUACUAUGAUCAUAUACCGAGCUCAAUCAGAAGGAUGUUUCUAUGGUAUGAUUGUUCUGUAGCUACAUGCAAAUUACUAUUAGUGUUUCUUCACAAAAAAAAAUCUUAUAAACAGAUAUUACUGUCAACCUUGAGACGGUUGUUUUAUUUUUUAAAAAAAAUAUAUGUUGAAUUAGCAUAUGUAAUGCAAGACAACUAUAUAUUGCAACAAAUAGCUUGAUUUUGAAAUGAUGGACACCACGCUGGUCAGAUGCAUAUGAUAUCAACAUCAGUAUGAAGAAAUGUCUUUAAUUAGCCUCUGAUUAGGAUCAAUAAAGAUCAAACGAAGUGUAGAGGGGAAAGAGAAAGAACUGAAAAUGUUGGAAAUAAAUAGGGCACAUCUAUAGCCACAUAUUUUUACAAUCAAAACAAAUAAAACUAAGCUUCUGCAUCGAGAUGUACGUAUCGGCGACAUAUAUGUAGCCACCCAAAUCUCUUUGCUCAACUAUUUUCAGUUCAGGAUAGCAGGAGAAGAAGAGAGAGCUAUAUUGAACAAGAAAUUAAUUAACCAGAUCAAGCCAGCACGCGGAUCACAGAUGGACACACACACCAGGAUAUGUAACUAGCUGAAUUGAUCGACAGCACUGAAACUCACCUCAGAUCAAAACACCGCCGUCCGUGGUUAGUCGAUCGAUACAGAUUAGGCGAUCGGAUUCAAGAACUCUCUUCUCCUCCAAGCAAGGAGAAGCACGAGCUGGUCUGUAUGUUCUCUCUCGAUCUGUCUGUCGGCAAGAAGUUGGGCUGUGUGUCUGGAAGAAUAAAUAGCAUGAGAAGGAGAGGAAGAGGAGAUAGACGAUGAUCGAGUUUGCAUUUGGAGAGGAGGAGGAGAAAAGAGGGGAAGAAGGUGGCGGGUAUAAAAAAGGAGUCGAGGUCGCUCUCCUUUCCGUCGCGCGUGGGUGAGGGGGAAUGAAGGCCUCUUGGGCCCCACACGGGCCCACCAGCUGACGUCACGUCGUCCUCUUCCUGCCGCGCUGCUAGCUCCUCUCUUUCCCUUUCCUCUCCCGGCAAUGAACAGUACAGAAGAAGCUCUAGCUAGCUAGUAUCAGUAGCUGGUCUUCGAGUAUCCAUAAUUUUUGCAUCUUGCUGAUCGAUGAUAUGUUCACCUAUAGCUCCUUCAGAUACAUAGGAGUACAUGGCAGUGGCCAGCACUUGGCCAUCGGUUCAAAGAUACAGAAAACUGAUUGUAUGCUAGUCUGUAAGUUAGUUAUAUGUGCAACUUUCUUUAAUUUGAAGUGCAUUAAGUUCUCUGUGGCUAAUUAGAAUGAAAGUCUGGUUCUGGGUGCAAUCAAGUGCAUGUUAGUUCUUGCCAAUGGUACCACUGUGCUUUCAGCUGUUUAUAGGAACAUGUCGCCCCGUUGACAGAUGAACAAGUUACUCAGUAGAAUGUGCUGCUGCAUGCUGCAGGUCCCGUACAGUUGUCCAGGUAUCAUGAUCAGUCUGUUGUAUCAUUGCAGUAGAUUUCUGGGGCGAAUGGGGUUCCCUACUUUCCAUGGAAAUUUUGAUUGAUGUGAUGCGUGAAUUGAACAAAAUGAUUCUAAGGCCUUGUUUAGUUCCUAAAUUUUUUUUCCAAAAACAUCACAUCGAAUUUUUAGAAACCUAAAUAAAGCAUUAAACAUAGAUGAAUCAAAAAACUAAUUGCACAGUUAUGGAAAAAAUCUUGAGACGAAUCUUUUGAGCCUAAUUAGCCCAUGAUUAGCCAUAAGUGCUACAAUAACCAACAUGUGCUAAUGACGGAUUAAUUAGGCUCAAAAGAUUCGUCUCGCAGUUUCUAGGCUAGCCAUGAAAUUCGUUUUUUUUAUUUGUGUCCGAAAACCCCUUCCGACAUUCGAUCAAACAUUUGACGUGACACUUCUCCUAAAAAUUUUCUCAAUCAAAAUACCACCUAACUGUACAGUUUUGAUUUGAUAUGUAAGUAACAAGCUAGUAAUUAAAUCUAGCAGUUGGCCUCUAGCUAGUGACACUUUGAUUUGAUCACCCACACAGUAGCAGUAAAAAAUCAUCUCUAGCUAACUUGUCAAAUGCAAAUAUGCAAUACAAACACAUGUCCCUUUCCUUGACUAUAAUUCAUCUCCUACCUAGAAUUUCGUGUUCUCAGAUCAGAGAGCAUGCACCAAGACUGAUGAGGAACUAAUUGCAUCUGUUAGACUUAGCCAUUAGCAUUAAAUCAAUUAUAUUCCAGAAGCAUGAUCAGUGGGAAUUAUGAUGUCGAUAACACUGAGGUGUAGGCAUCCAUUACAAAACAUGUUGUGCUAAGUAUGAUGCCACCUACCAUUGUUAGGAGCCACCGGGAAACAAGAAAUCCUUGUGUGAUAAGAUUGGAUCAAAUUUGGGAACCCUCGCAUCAUUUCGGUUCUCAUUGCUUGCUAGCUAGCUAGCUGCUGAUCAACUCAUGAUCAAAGAAAAGAUAUUUACCAUGAUGCAAUGAAAGGGAAAGAAUUUCAGGUUUGUUGAUUAUCAAACUGCUGUGACAUAUAUUUAAUUAGGACAAAUUAACUUCUUCCACAUUACCUCAGAAUUAAAGUAAAAAGUUAGCUAAUAUGAACAAUGGCAUAACUUUCUACUCCAGAAUCCAACUCUAACUAACGGUAUCAUGAGCAAAGUCAAGAAAAUCUACGGAGUAGCUAGUGUGCUAUAAUUGGUGAUGAUUAUAACAAAUGUGUUCUAAUUCAACUGGGUGACCACAGAGACAAAGCAAAGAUUGGUCAAAUUUUGGAUUAAGGUAGUGUAUCUAUAUUCAGAUCUUUCUUUUUCGUCAAGCAAAGAAAGCUCAAGAUGUGCUUUUUCCUUCAAUAAUAAAACCUACAUACAGUCCCCAUUAUAGUAUCGCUUAUAUAUGUGCCAUCUUUUCAAGUUUACAAUUUUAAAUUAAUCAAGUGGUAAACUCGCACAAUCUUCUUCGUCACACUGAGUUUGUCUGUAAUAUAUAUAUAUAUAUAUAUAUAUAUAUAUAUAUAUAUUCAACCUCUGUUUCAUAUUAUAAGACUUUCUGGGUUUGUCUAAAUUUAUCCAUAUAUCAAUAUUAUAUUUUGUAUAUAUGUCUAGAUUUAUUAGCACACAUUUGAAUAUAGACAAUGUCAGAAAGUCUCAUAAUAUGGAACGGAGGAAAUACUUAUGAGACUAAGAACUCCAUUUUCAACUGCAACCCCUUUAGACUAAUUAACUGCCUCCUCUGCAAAGUAUAUAUACAUGUUUGUAGUACUUGAUGAACAAGUGAUCAGGAACACAAAAGCUGGAAAUGGAGUCCAGCUACAGCAUAACAUAUACUCCCUCCAUUUCAUAAUGUAAAAUGUCUGACUUUUUUGUUUGUAAUGUUUAACCAUUUGUCUUAUUAAAAAAUAUGAAAAUAUCAUUUAUUUUGGUUGUGACUUACUUUAUUAUAAAAAAACUUUAAGCACAACUUGUCUUUUUUAUAUUUGUACUAAAUUUUUAAAUAAGACGAAUGGUCAAACGUUGCAACUAAAAAAAUCAAACAUCCUGUAUUAUAAAACGGAGGUAGGUAAUAUGUUUCUUCUUCUUUUCUCAAAUUAAUAGCAGACACUGGUAUGUACUGGAACAAAACAAUGAUACACUUUUGGUUUUUGGACCAUAUGUAUGUCGUAACACGAACUUUCAAAACCUAAUAAGGAUAGGUAGUGUGAGAGAGAUGGAAAAGAUUAUGGACACAGGGGCCCAGCAGCCCUGCAAUUUGGUUGGGUUUGCAUCAUGUUCUUGCGAGCGGGUGACUAUAAUAAUGCCGGCCCCUUCAUCUCUAUAGCUAUAGACAUACAUAUAUAUACACUGCUACCUCCGAAAUUUGUAUUUAAUGUGAUACAUUAUAAUGCUAUAAAUUUGAUCGUUGUUCAGAUUCGUAGGACUAGUACGUAUCAUAUUUAAUGCUAGAUUUAUAUUUAAGUAAAACAGAGAGAUUAGUUCAUAAACUUUUGUUCGCUCUAGAGAAAUGUUCUGGUAGAGAGAGGUCAAAUGGGAGGAAUUCAGGCAGGGCAUACCAAGCGAGCAGCUGCUAAUGAUUAUGUCACCUCAAAACAAUCUCACGCGCGCUAAUCCCGAUGGGAGCUGCUCUCCACGCUGGAGCACGACAUUUACUGCACUUUUGCUCCCCGGACGACACGUCCUCUGCAGAUCACUACUCUGCGUUAGAGCAGGUCCAAUACAAGCGGUAAGGCAGCUAUAAGCAUAUUAAAAAUAGAUAAGAGAAGAGAUUAAAGAAAUAUGAACUAUUAAUUUGUAGCCAGCUACACACGGAUUCUAGGACACCGUGUGUAUAUGAUAUGUGGGACCAUAUACUAAUGUUUUGUAAGUAACUAUUGUAUGAAUUGGCUAUUAAAUUAACUAUAGAUAAGUUGGAGCUAGAAGUUGGUUAACUAUUGAACUUGCUCUAAAUCCUAAUUAAUUCGGCGGUGCCCUGGUGACCCAUGUUCUUGCAGGGUUAGAGUGGCGCAGCAUUAGGGAACAGGGGCCAGUAGGAUAUAUGUAGAUGUGUUCCCUUUUCAUGUUUGAUGUUUCUGCAUGAUGUUUCUGUUUCUUGGUUGGCAUGUUGAUAAAUUAAUUCAUGUAGAUAUUUUUUUGUCUGCCCAAGCAUAUGCACUUUAAUUCAAGCAGAUAAAUUAUUACAUUAAGAACGUGCAUUUGAAAUAUUGCCAUUAACCCUUCUUAAUAGUCCUCAAAAGAAUUGAAGACAUUAGUAAAUAGUAAUUAGCACAUAUAUACCUGAAAGAAGUGAGGGUUUUAACAGAGUUCCAAAUUGUUAAUCUGCACUUCUGAGUGUUUAUCAUCUAUGAGAUCGAUAUGACAUGCGGCUCUGAUUUCUGACCAACUUCUAGUUAAUACUUUGUCUCAAAAUAUAAAGAAUUUAAACUCUACAUUUAUAUAAUCAAAAUAUCUUAGAGGUAGUAUAUCUGUAAAUUGUGCUUGCCAGUUCCGCACCGUAUGUGCAGAACUGAAGCUAACUAUCUAAUCACCGCAUAUUUCAUAAAGUGAUGUGCUUUUCAUCUCGCACUGCAUUACACACGUGUACAUACACACUAGUAAUAGUAAUAGGCCUUGUUUAGUUACUAAAUUUUUUUUCCAAAAACAUCACAUCAAAUUUUUUACACUUAAAUAAAGCAUUAAACAUGGAUGAACCAAAAAACUAUUUAUACAGUUAUGAAAGAAAUCUUAAGACAAAUCUUUUGAGCUUAAUUAGUCCAUGAUUAGCCAUAAGUGCUACAGUAACUAACAUGUGCUAAUGAUGAAUUAAUUAGACUCAAAAGAUUCGUCUCGCGGUUUCUAGGCUAGCCGUGAAAUUCGUUUUUUCAUUCAUAUCCGAAAAUCCCUUUCGACAUUCGGUCAAAUAUUCGAUACGAUAUUUUUAUCAAAAAAUUUUAGCAACUAAACACCACCUGUACUUCAGCAGCUGCAUGCGAUCGAACAUACAGGAAGAGCAGCAGCAGCAGCAGCAGACAUGUACUGGAUCAUCGAUCGGAAACCUGUAACGGCACGCCAUGUUUCUUUCUUUCUCGGUUAAGGCUGGCUGAUGACUUGUCCUUUCUUCUUCCCUAACAGCAUCUCCACAAAAGUGCACUUAACAAUAACAGGAUAAGCUUAGUAGCUGUUACGCUUCAGGCUUCACCCGUACAUAUGCAUAAACUACAAUCGUGUGGCCAAUAACUGGGCGUCCAGGGUAUAUACUAAUCAUGCUACUACCGAUGAUGCAUCUAGAACUAGCUAGCUAGCUUCCAAUAUAUUCACCAACUUUUUUUAGGCCCACACAUAUAUAGUGUACUGAUCCAUGUGUCUGAAACUAUGUACUCCUAUCAAUUGCAGUAGUAGUAGCAGUGUAGUACAAUUCAGGUUCUGGUACAUAUAUACGUAGCGACAUGACUGAAGCAAAAUACAGAUCGACGUGUUGGUAUGAGAUGAACAGGAAAAUUCUGGCCAAGUUGCAUAUUGCCUGCUGGGUCCGGACACCAACUCGUCGAGAUCCAGACAUGGCUAACCUCUGAACUCGACACGUACCAUUACCAACAUGGUUGCAGCUGACGGAUGCAUCGGCAAAUAAAGGCGAUCGAUCGAUCGAAUGGGAUGGUCGAUGAUAUUCCAAAGGCUUUACGUACAAGAUACACUAGAUGCAAAGUACAUAUACACACGUCGUUUUUGUACUCGACGUCGUUUUAGGCUACGAGGAUUUCCACUUGUAAGCAUGGAGGGUGUACACAUCCAUGACAGCAUCUUCUGACAGAGUUAUUUACAUGUGGCAGGCUUGGAGCAGUUGCUAGCUUGCAUACACAGACGACGACGUUGAGAUGCAGGGAAGGCAAAGCACACAGGGCCCAGCUUGCUGCAGGUGAAUGUGGCAUAAUGGCAUUGUUACACUGGGACAACUACUCCUUUGUGCUUUGUAUGAUGAUCAGCAUGUUGAUCGAGGUAUUGUAGAUGCAGCCAUGCAUGCGUGAUGCAUGUAGAUAUUGCGAAAGAGGAGGUAGCUAGAGGAAGUUCGCUAGCUGGCUGUCUACGUCGAGUGUAAACAGUGUCAAUUUUGCCUUCCAUCUUUUUCCUCCUCAGAACGCUCUAAAAGCGGUGAGAUUUUUUUUCCAUGAAAGGCUGUUACUUUUCACAGAACAGUACGUAAACCGGCAGGCACAUAUUGUUGCCUCCAGAAACCGGCCUUUGUGGCCCAGCCGGCCGCUACCAAGGCAGAAAAGUCAAAAGUCUUUCAGAAAACUGUAGUACUUUGCAAACAAGCGUACUUUAUGGGUGAUGUGACGGGCAAUAUAUACAUGGA